rnacentral:rRNA from 1 species
GCCGCGUGUGUGAAGAAGGCUUUCGGGUUGUAAAGCACUUUCAGCGAGGAAGAAGGCCUGGUGGUUAAUACCCAUCAGGAAGGACAUCACUCGCAGAAGAAGCACCGGCUAACUCCGUGCCAGCAGCCGCGGUAAUACGGAGGGUGCGAGCGUUAAUCGGAAUUACUGGGCGUAAAGCGCGCGUAGGUGGCUUGGCACGCCGGUUGUGAAAGCCCCGGGCUCAACCUGGGAACGGCAUCCGGAACGGCCAGGCUAGAGUGCAGGAGAGGAAGGUAGAAUUCCCGGUGUAGCGGUGAAAUGCGUAGAGAUCGGGAGGAAUACCAGUGGCGAAGGCGGCCUUCUGGCCUGACACUGACACUGAGGUGCGAAAGCGUGGGUAGCAAACAGGAUUAGAUACCCUGGUAGUCCACGCCGUAAACGAUGUCGACUAGCCGUUGGGACCUUUAAGGACUUAGUGGCGCAGUUAACGCGAUAAGUCGACCGCCUGGGGAGUACGGCCGCAAGGUUAAAACUCAAAUGAAUUGACGGGGGCCCGCACAAGCGGUGGAGCAUGUGGUUUAAUUCGAUGCAACGCGAAGAACCUUACCUACCCUUGACAUCCUGCGAAUUUGGUAGAGAUACCUUAGUGCCUUCGGGAGCGCAGUGACAGGUGCUGCAUGGCUGUCGUCAGCUCGUGUUGUGAAAUGUUGGGUUAAGUCCCGUAACGAGCGCAACCCUUGUCCUUAUUUGCCAGCACGUAAUGGUGGGAACUCUAAAGGAGACUGCCGGUGACAAACCGGAGGAAAGGUGGGG